CCUACGGGUGGCAGCAGUGAGGAAUAUUGGUCAAUGGACGAGAGUCUGAACCAGCCAAGUAGCGUGAAGGAUGACUGCCCUAUGGGUUGUAAACUUCUUUUAUAUGGGAAUAAACUGUUCCACGUGUGGGUUUUUGUAUGUACCAUAUGAAUAAGGAUCGGCUAACUCCGUGCCAGCAGCCGCGGUAAUACGGAGGAUCCGAGCGUUAUCCGGAUUUAUUGGGUUUAAAGGGUGCGUAGGUGGAUGGUUAAGUUAGUUGUGAAAGUUUGCGGCUCAACCGUAAAAUUGCAGUUGAAACUGGCAGUCUAGAGUGCAGUAGAGGUAGGCGGAAUGCGUGGUGUAGCGGUGAAAUGCUUAGAUAUCACGAAGAACUCCGAUUGCGAAGGCAGCUCACUGGGCUGCAACUGACACUGAGGCUCGAAAGUGUGGGUAUCAAACAGGAUUAGAUACCCUUGUAGUC
rnacentral:rRNA from 1 species